rnacentral:rRNA from 1 species
UAAUCGCGGAUCAGCAUGCCGCGGUGAAUACGUUCCCGGGCCUUGUACACACCGCCCGUCACACCAUGAGAGUUGGGAAUACCCGAAGCCUGUGAGCUAACUGUAAAGAGGCAGCAGUCGAAGGUAGAAUCAAUGAUUGGGGUGAAGUCGUAACAAGGUAAC